GGAAGUUAAAUUUGGUAAACGAUGGUAUAAUCUGAAAAAGGUCAACUAGAGGUAAAGUCGCUUGCCAGUUGGGUCUGCUGAAAGUCAGACGGGACCACAUCUGAAGAACAGCUUUAGCCUCUCUUUUCUUUGGAAUAAGCCAAGAGGGAGGAGUUUAAACAAAGGCCCUUUCCACAUAAAAAAUGGAAGCUUGUGCAGAGAAGCCAUGGUGUCCUGCUCUCAACACUACAUGCUGCCGUUUCUGCUUCUAAAACCUUCAACUAAGACGGUUGUUUCCUGAUUCUGCUGUUGGAAGCUACAAAGCAUUGUUCCAUGGGUUUUGCUGCCCCUGCCUGCACUGAACAAAGAUAAUUACUCAGGAAACAUUUCGGCCAAUCAGGCGCGGCCUUGCAUCUUGCUCGUGAGGAAAGCGACCAGUCAGGAUCUGGCUAACAUCACCGGGGCCUGAUCGCCUUGCCUGAAGAGCGGAGCCUUCCCCGACUGAGGGCUGAGAGUGUCCUCCAUGUUUUAUAAGUGUUGACAUAACAGUGUGUCAGGCAGCCAUGCAUCCACAGAGUCUGGCUGAGGAGGAGAUAAAGACAGAGUCUGAUGUGGUAGAGGGAAUGGAUGCAUCUGUGCGAUCCAAAGUCCCUGAUCCACCAGGGUCAGCAGAAAGAUCAGUGGCACCACAGAAACGAAAGGUGUCGAGUCCCACCCAUUCCUCCAAUGGGCACUCUCCCUCAGACACCUCCCCCAGCCCUCUUAAGAAGAAGAAGAAGCCAGGGGCCUUGAAUUGUAACAACAAAGACCAGGUAAGGGCUAUUGUAAGUGCAAGUUCAUUUUGAAAUCAGGUGUGUUCUCAAAGGCUAUUUCUUUAUCCAAUUUCAAUAAUGGGCCAUAUACUUUCAUAGAAUGUUAAGGCCAGGGUUGUGCCUGAAAAAAAACAUUUCAUAUGAUGUGCUAUCUGACCACAUCAGAAAUCAGAUAUGUUUAUGGUCAAUCUAACCGCUGUAUAAACACAGCCAUAAUAAAGUGUAUUUUCAGGGUCUUGAAUGGGAAGCGUUUAGUGUUAUUUAUUUAUUUUUUGCCUCAUGCUUCCACAACUAAUGUGUACAAUAUAUGAAAAAAAAAAAUUGCACUGCAUACAGUUGGCAGAUUAUACCUUCCACUUCUGGAAGUCUGCUAGGAUCUGUUCGAGUCUGAGUGACGUGAAUUUCAUCAACAGACAGUUAGUGGGAGGAUUGAUGCAGAUGUCCGUGUACUUGUGUUACAAAGCACCAAGUACAUAGGCUUCCCAGGCAACACAGUCCAAGUGGACGUUAAAGAUGUAUAACAGGAUUGACUAGUUGGCUUUCAGGUCUUCAGCUGUCUGUGUAAAUGCCAGGCUUUAGCCAGUUGUUGGUUUUGAACAUGAAGGGUGAGACUGAGACCUCCUUGUCCAUCAUCAAAGGAGAUGAACUAGGGGGAGGGGGUAUCUGAGGGUAUUCAACAAGAAUAUGUUACCAGAUGUACUGGUGCUAUAGUCCAAAGUCAGAAUUGUCAAAUAGACAACUCAAGUUGGUUUUGCA